AUACUGGCCCCCAAAUCUUCGCU
rnacentral:miRNA from 1 species